rnacentral:lncRNA from 10 species
GCAAUAAUGUAGGCAUUUGCUUACAGCAACAGAAUCCAUUUAGGGAAUAAAUAAUUGACUGAUCUUAUUAUACUGAGCCUUUUCCUUCAAAAAGUUUAUAUCUCUGAUAUUUACAGAUACUAAGAAAAUUGACAAAUCGAUUCAAUUGUGUCAUCACAUGAAAAGAAUCCAUUUUAAUCAAAAUUUUUCAUCCACAUGUUACAAAACCUAUAAACACUUAGAUAUACUUAGAUCUAAUAAUCUCCAAGGUAGUGAUUUAUUGAGUGCUUAAAAAUUUGUGUACUGAACAGGCGCUUUAUAUAUGUUAUCUGCGUCACUACAACUCUGCAAAGGGUGCUGGGUUGGGUUUAUUUUUUCUCAUGUUUGAGGUUUUUGUUAGCACUUAUCAGCUAUUUAAGUGUUUUAUAUCUGUUAUUGACUUCAAAUUACAGCAAAGCAGCACUUUAGAGAUAAGAAAAAUGAGAAUCAGAGAAUUUAAAUGAGUUUUCCAAAGUCACACAGCACAUGGUAAAGAGAAUUUAAGCUGGAAAAGGUUGGGCAGCUUAUUGUUGUCAAAUCAUAUAUGCAUGAAUAGAAACUAAAGAAGAAUAUAUCUCGGCAAGAAGGACUUCAGUGCUAAUUAGCAAGCCUCCAAAUGAGUAGUGAAACACAUUGACAGAAAUGAGAUAAACCAUGAAAUUUACUUCACCACUGAAAGGAGGAUGGGAUUCUUUAAUUAUGCCAUAUGAAGGAGCUGUGCCUAAGUGCUGGCUUUAGUCUUAACUGGCUAUGUGAACAAGGGCAAACCUUAUAUCCAUGUGGUCCACAGAUCUUCAGUGUGUAAGGAGAUUAUUCAAAUUAUCUCUAUGGUCUCUACUAGGUUUUUAAUCAGAAACAUUUGUAAUUAAUCUUAAUAAAAAUAUUAUGAUUAAAAACAAUAGGUUAUAGCUAUGAUACUGCUUAAUUGGCUACUAAUGCAAGUUGGUGCACUACAGUUCUCCAAGGAAUGCUCUGGUUAGUGGUCAGAUAUAGUUUAAUUUAUCUUUUAAAUUUUCAUAUUAGGUGUCUUUUUAAAGAAAGAAGUUUGGAAUAUCUUUGAUAUUUUUAAAAAUUGUGUUACUAGUAGUAAAAAUAAUUACAAUAAUAAAAACAAGCAUAAAGAUCUACAAAUAGUUUCAAAACUAAUAAUGUCUUAAAUACACACCUACUACAGAUGUUAAAGGAAAUGUUUCUAUCAUUUUUACAAUUAGGCACACCAUUUGCUCUAAAUUUUAAAAUAUGAAUUCUCAAAAAUUUAGAAAAUUUUUAUCAUGAAUAAUUUGAAGUGUAAACGAACUACAGAGUAAUAUUGAAUGUAGUUAUACACACAUUACCUUGAUUUAACAGUUAUCAAAUGUUGACACGUUGUUUUGUCUCUCCCUCCUAGUCUUUCCCCCUUCUUGGCUGAAAUAUUUUAAAGCAGAUGCUAGGCCUCAGGUCAUUUACCUUCUCAAACUGUUAUAUGUAUUUCUAAAAUAUAUGGACAUUUUUCCAAUGACCAAAAUGCUAUUAUCAUCUGUUAAAAAAUUAGCAAUUAUUACUUGGUAUUAUUGAGAUCUCAUCUUAUGUUUAAAUUUUCCUUAUUGUGUCAAAAUAUUAUUUUUACAG